AGAGUUUGAUUCUGGCUCAGGAUGAACGCUGGCGGCGUGCCUAACACAUGCAAGUCGAACGGAGAUCAUUUGGAAAGAAGCUUCGGCAGACAGAAGGAUGAUCUUAGUGGCGGACGGGUGAGUAACGCGUGGAGAACCUGCCCUGUACUGGGGGAUAACAACCAGAAAUGGCUGCUAAAACCGCAUAAGCGCACGGGACCGCAUGGUCUUGUGUGAAAAACUCCGGUAGUACAGGAUGGCUCCGCGUUGGAUUAGCCAGUUGGCGGGGUAACGGCCCACCCAAAGCGACGAUCCAUAGCCGGCCUGAGAGGGUGGACGGCCACAUUGGGACUGAGACACGGCCCAGACUCCUACGGGAGGCAGCAGUGGGGAAUAUUGCACAAUGGGGGGAACCCUGAAUGCAGCGACGCCGCGUGAAGGAAGAAGUAUCUCGGUAUGUAAACUUCUAUCAGCAGGGAAGAAAAUGACGGUACCUGACUAAGAAGCCCCGGCUAACUACGUGCCAGCCGCCGC
rnacentral:rRNA from 1 species